rnacentral:rRNA from 1 species
UCCUACGGGAGGCAGCAGUGAGGAAUAUUGGUCAAUGGUCGGGAGACUGAACCAGCCAAGCCGCGUGAGGGAUGAAGGUACAGAGUAUCGUAAACCUCUUUUGUCAGGGAACAAAGGCGGGGACGUGUCCCCGGAUGAGUGUACCUGAAGAAAAAGCAUCGGCUAACUCCGUGCCAGCAGCCGCGGUAAUACGGAGGAUGCGAGCGUUAUCCGGAUUUAUUGGGUUUAAAGGGUGCGCAGGCGGUCUGUUAAGUCAGCGGGCAAAGCCCGGGGCUCAACCCCGGCCCGCCGUUGAAACUGGCAGG